rnacentral:rRNA from 1 species
AGUGAACGCUGGCGGUAGGCCUAACACAUGCAAGUCGAACGGCAGCACAGUAAGAGCUUGCUCUUACGGGUGGCGAGUGGCGGACGGGUGAGGAAUACAUCGGAAUCUACUUUUUCGUGGGGGAUAACGUAGGGAAACUUACGCUAAUACCGCAUACGACCUACGGGUGAAAGCAGGGGAUCUUCGGACCUUGCGCGAUUGAAUGAGCCGAUGUCGGAUUAGCUAGUUGGCGGGGUAAAGGCCCACCAAGGCGACGAUCCGUAGCUGGUCUGAGAGGAUGAUCAGCCACACUGGAACUGAGGCACGGUCCAGACUCCUACGGGAGGAAGCAGUGGGGAAUAUUGGACAAUGGGCGCAAGCCUGAUCCAGCCAUACCGCGUGGGUGAAGAAGGCCUUCGGGUUGUAAAGCCCUUUUGUUGGGAAAGAAAAGCAGAAGGUUAAUACCCCGCUGUUCUGACGGUACCCAAAGAAUAAGCACCGGCUAACUUCGUG